AUUGAACGCUGGCGGCAGGCCUAACACAUGCAAGUCGAACGAGUGGCGGACGGGUGAGUAAUGUCUGGGAAACUGCCUGAUGGAGGGGGAUAACUACUGGAAACGGUAGCUAAUACCGCAUAACAUCCGAUGUGCCCAGAUGGGAUUAGCGAGUUGGUGGGGUAAAGGCUCACCAAGGCGACGAUCCCUAGAUGGUCUGAGAGGAUGACCAGCCACCUGUUAACUGAGACACGGUCUAGACUCCUACUGGAGGCAGCAGUGGGGAAUAUUGCACAAUGGGCGCAAGCCUGCUGCAGCCAUGCCGCGUGUAUGAAGAAGGCCUUCGGGUUGUAAAGUACUUUCAGCGGGGAGGCUUUACCCGCAGAAGAAGCACCGGCUAACGCCGUGCCAGCAGCCGCGGUAAUAC
rnacentral:rRNA from 1 species